rnacentral:rRNA from 1 species
GAUGAACGCUGGCGGUAUGCCUAACACAUGCAAGUCGAACGGUCUCUUCGGAGAUAGUGGCGGACGGGUGAGUAACACGUGAGAAUCUGGCUUCAGGAUGGGGACAACAGUUGGAAACGACUGCUAAUACCCGAUAUGCCGAAAGGUGAAAGAUUUAUCGCCUGAAGAUGAGCUCGCGGCUGAUUAGCUAGUUGGUGGGGUAAGAGCCUACCAAGGCGACGAUCAGUAGCUGUUCUGAGAGGAAGAUCAGCCACACUGGGACUGAGACACGGCCCAGACUCCUACGGGAGGCAGCAGUGGGGAAUUUUCCGCAAUGGGCGAAAGCCUGACGGAGCAAUACCGCGUGCGGGAGGAAGGCCCUUGGGUCGUAAACCGCUUUUCUUAGGGAAGAAACCUGACGGUACCUAAGGAAUAAGCCUCGGCUAACUCCGUGCCAGCAGCCGCGGUAAUACGGAGGAGGCAAGCGUUAUCCGGAAUUAUUGGGCGUAAAGAGUCCGUAGGUGGUUCAUCAAGUCUGCUGUUAAAGAGUGCAGCUCAACUGCAUAAAGGCGGUGGAAACUGUUGAACUAGAGUAUGGUAGGGGUAGGGGGAAUUCCCAGUGUAGCGGUGAAAUGCGUAGAGAUUGGGAAGAACACCGGUGGCGAAAGCGCCCUACUGGGCCAUAACUGACACUGAGGGACGAAAGCUAGGGUAGCGAAUGGGAUUAGAUACCCCAGUAGUCCUAGCCGUAAACGAUGGAAACUAGGCGUAGCUUGUAUCGACCCGAGCUGUGCCGAAGCUAACGCGUUAAGUUUCCCGCCUGGGGAGUACGCACGCAAGUGUGAAACUCAAAGGAAUUGACGGGGGCCCGCACAAGCGGUGGAGUAUGUGGUUUAAUUCGAUGCAACGCGAAGAACCUUACCAAGGCUUGACAUCCCGCGAAUCUCUGGAAACGAGAGAGUGCCUUAGGGAGCGCGGAGACAGGUGGUGCAUGGCUGUCGUCAGCUCGUGUCGUGAGAUGUUGGGUUAAGUCCCGCAACGAGCGCAACCCUUGUCCUUAGUUGCCAGCAUUAAGUUGGGCACUCUAGGGAGACUGCCGGUGACAAACCGGAGGAAGGUGAGGAUGACGUCAAGUCAGCAUGCCCCUUACGUCUUGGGCUACACACGUACUACAAUGGUUGGGACAAAGGGCAGCAAGCUCGCGAGAGUAAGCGAAUCUCAUCAAACCCAGCCUCAGUUCAGAUUGCAGGCUGCAACUCGCCUGCAUGAAGGAGGAAUCGCUAGUAAUCGCAGGUCAGCAUACUGCGGUGAAUCCGUUCCCGGGCCUUGUACACACCGCCCGUCACACCAUGGAAGCUGGCAACAUCCGAAGUCGUUACUCCAACUGUUUACAGAGGAGGGCGCCGAACGUGGGGCUAGUGACUGGGGUGAAGUC